UACGUAGGCAGCAAGCGUUGUUCGGAGUUACUGGGCGUAAAGGGUGUGUAGGCGGUUGGAUAAGUGUGGUGUGAAUCUCCCGGCUCAACUGGGAGGGUGCGCUACAAACUGUCUGACUAGAGUGUGGGAUGGGUAAGUGGAAUUCCUGGUGUAGCGGUGAAAUGCGUAGAUAUCAGGAGGAACACCGGUGGUGUAGACGGCUUACUGGACCAUAACUGACGCUGAUGCACGAAAGUGUGGGGAUCAAACAGG
rnacentral:rRNA from 1 species